rnacentral:rRNA from 1 species
UACAGAGGUCUCAAGCGUUGUUCGGAUUCAUUUGGGCGUAAAGGGUGUGUAGGUGGCGCCGUAAGUCGGGUGUGAAAUUUCGGAGCUUAACUCCGAAACUGCAUUCGAUACUGCGGUGCUUGAGGACUGGAGAGGAGACUGGAAUUUACGGUGUAGCGGUGAAAUGCGUAGAUAUCGUAAGGAAGACCAGUGGCGAAGGCGGGUCUCUGGACAGUUCCUGACGCUGAGGCACGAAGGCCAGGGGAGCAAACGGGG